UAUGUGAUCGUCUCUCGCAUAUCAAUAAGCGGAGGAAAAGAAACUAACAAGGAUUCCCCUAGUAACGGCGAGUGAAGCGGGAAGAGCUCAAAUUUGAAAUCUUAAAGGGUUUCCCUUUACGAAUUGUAGUUUAAAGAAGUGUUUUCUGUUGAGGUUUUGGUAAAAGCUCUUUGGAAUAGGACAUCAUAGAGGGUGAGAAUCCCGUAUUUGACCUUUACUUUCAACUUUGUGAUACACUUUCAAAGAGUCGGAUUGUUUGGGAAUGCAGUCCAAAAUGGGUGGUAAAUUUCAUCUAAAGCUAAAUAUUGGCGAGAGACCGAUAGCGAACAAGUACCGUGAGGGAAAGAUGAAAAGAACUUUGAAAAGAGAGUUAAACAGUACGUGAAAUUGUCAAAAGGGAAGCGUUUGACACCAGUGUUGUUUUUCUGAAAAUCAAUUAAAGAACUGUUUAUGCUAAGUUGUUUAGACUUUAUCAGCUAUCUGCUUAGUUUUGAGCUUUUCUUUAAUGCACUUUUCAGUUAACAAGUCAACAUCAAUUUCUUUUGCUGUAAAAAAGCUUGAGGAAGGUGGCUUGAGAUUCGUCUUAAGUGUUUAUAGCCUCUUGCCUAUGCAGUCGGAGAGAUUGAGGUCUGCAGCGUAGAUCCUUCGGGGCUAAAUGCAUUUGUGCUAAGUUAUAGCAUUUUAUAGACAACUUGUUGACUAUGAUUCGUCUUGUAGCUUACUCGCUUAUGUUAUUUUACCUACGCUUAGGAUGUUGAUCUACAGAGCGAGAGU
rnacentral:rRNA from 1 species